rnacentral:ncRNA from 1 species
CAACAGGGGAGCUCGCCGGAGCGGGCUGAGAGUGGGCUGUAUCGCCCAGACCCUUCAACCUGAUUUGGAUAAUGCCAACGUAGGGACAU